rnacentral:rRNA from 1 species
GCUCAGAGUAUAAGCCGAUGGAGCUUGGAAGGCUUCCGCAGUCUUGGGCAUCACACGUGGUGUUUCGGAAGGCAUGUAGCACGGAUCGUUAGGCAAAGCAUUUAGUUUGCCGAAUAGCUGUUGUACAGGGAUUUUGUUCGGGGGUCUUAGGCUUCGGCCGAAGGGCUCCAGCUCGUUUCCCAUUGAACGGACGUUCAGAGCUACUGUGUCUAAUGCGGUUACGCCCACCACGGCACGUUGUGAGGUCACCCACAGGCUCAAACUGCCGAUCGCGCAUCCAGGACGAUGGCAACGAUGCGUUUUCUUUGCUUCAGCAUUCGGAGCAAUGACGCGUGUCUAGUCCUGGGUCGGGCGGCGACCGAGAUAUACCUGGUAUGAUCCUCUUGCGACGAGCUGCUUUCUGGCCAGACCAACGUCCGGGCGCUUCCACUGUGCCGGAAGUGUCUAUCCCAGGCGGUAUGACCCAGAUGCAUUGUGCAAGGUCUCUCAGCCGGGCGUUGGUCUGAGUGGUGUUAAGUCCAGCACCAUCGGUCACGUCUCGAAACACGGGCCAAGGAGUAUAGCAUGUGUGCAAGUCUAAGGGUCUCACAAAACCCGAAGGCGAAGUGAAAGCAAGACUGUGGCGGGGGAGCUAUGGUGAACCCGCCGGCCUAGUUGCACACUGUGUUGCAUGGCUUUUAGCAGAGCUGAUCCUGUUUUCUCGGUUAAUUCUUGGUGCAGGCGCAAGCUCCGGGCUCACGUACAGCACUGGUCANCCUCG